rnacentral:rRNA from 1 species
CCUACGGGCGGCAGCAGUAGGGAAUCUUCCACAAUGGGCGAAAGCCUGAUGGAGCAACGCCGCGUGGGUGAAGAAGGUCUUCUGAGCGUAAAACCCUGUUGUUAGAGAAGAAAGUGCGUGAGCGUAACUGUUCCCGUUUCGACGGUAUCUAACCAGAAAGGCUCGGCCAACUACGUGCCAGAAGCCGCGGUAAUACGUCGGUGGCGAGCGUUAUCCGGAUUUAUUGGGCGUAAAGGGAACGCAGGCGGUCUUUUAAGUCUGAUGUGACAGCCUUCGGCUUAACCGGAGUAGUGCAUUGGAGACUGGGAGACUUGAGUGCAGAAGAGGUGAGCGGAAUGCGAUGUGUAGCGGUGAAAUGCGUAGAUAUAUGGCAGAACACCAGUGGCGAAGGCGGCUCGCUGGGCUGUAACUGACGCUGAGGUUCGAAAGCGUGGGUAGCAAACAGGAUUAGAUACCCGGGUAGUC